rnacentral:lncRNA from 1 species
CUCUUACCCAAAACCAAAUGGGCAGGGGGCUCCGCUGCAGAGGGCUCGCCGAGGCGCUCGCCUUCACCCGGCGCCGCGCAGGUGCCCGCUCUCCCGCGGGGAGAGCCGAGUGGGGGCGCUGCCGCAGGGUCUUUCUGGAAGCCCCUCCACCAGCACUCCUGCGGCCUGCGGCCUCCGCCACCCGGACGCUUCUACACACGAAGCGCGCGCUGGGGCUACGCCGGGCGGGGCUCACGGCGGCGUGGCUGUGGGGGGGCCGCCGAGCCGCCUCCUCCGCCCUGGGUGCCCGGCUGGCCCUCCUCCCGCCCAAGGUGCCCUGAUCGCUAGGCUCCCGGUGCGGCCGUCUCGCCCCUAAGCCGGGCGCCAGAUCCCCCGCCGCCUUCUCGCUCCCCGACCGCUGGGCGGGGGCGAGGGCCAGGGAGAUGGAGCCAGGUGCGGAAAGGGUUUCAGCCUCGGGGGCUGAGGCCGGAGGGUGAAGGCGCCGCUCCUUGAAGUGAGGAAAACUCCGGUGAGGAAGAGGCUCUUUCCAGGUCCUGUGCGUGUUGCUGUCUUUAGAGCUCAUUAGGCUCCUGGCACAUACAGCCCUGAAGACUGGGAGAAUCAGGAAGGGAGGAUGCACUUGGUUUUCUGUUCCCGUUUCACAGAUAGACUCAAGCCUGGAUUUGCUCCAGUGACGGUGUUUCAGAACAUUAGGCAUAUAGUACCACAGGGUUAAAAAUAAAUCACUAUACUAAAAUUACGCCUUGAGGAUUAUGCUUUGCUAGAAAAGUAGUUAAAGGAAGAAUUCUUCUUUACCCCAAGGGAAAAAACAUAGAUCCUGACUCUGAGAAUUAAACUGAAUUGUAGUCCUAUUUGCAUAAGACAGAAAAGGACAUUUGACCUUUCUGAGGUUGUAUUACACACCUGGCCUUACAUCUUCCCAGCCCAGCUUUGCUGUGACAACCAGCUAUGAACAGGUGUAACCUGAGAGCACCUUGCCUCAGCUGCACCUGGUAUUCUGCGUCUCUGGCACUGCAACCUGGGACCCUUGCAGGAAUCCGCUGCCCACUCCGACACAUGAGUAAACCUGGAAGUGCAAAGGAACACCUCAAAGGACAAACUUUGACCAAAGGGCAGGCAGGAACUGCAGGAAAAAUACUCUGCUCUUCCAGUCUUCCAGUGGGCAAUUCUGAGAUAUGUUCUAUGCAGCUCCUAAAAUGAUAGCAUUCUGUUUGCCCAUAGUAGUGACCGACUUGAUCAACUCACGAAUACACCCUUGGAUGCCAUUCUCUUUCCCUCCUUCCCUAUUUGACUCUUCCCAGCCCUCCCCUCCAAUUCCUUGGGAUUUUGUUAUGUAGCUUUAAAUGAUUCCAAACACUUUCACUUUGCUGUGAGAGUGAUAUUGUUUUACUGUGAUUAGAACAUGCAGGGAACUCUCCCUAGCCAAGGGAAUGUCAUGUCACACCUUAUCAGACCCUGCAUGGGAGCUACUGACCUCAACCACUGGACUCCAAACACAUAGAAACCCAAGAUUCUGACAGACGCUUGGAGAGCUGAGGAUGUGGCAAGGCCACUCUCUGGAAGCCUUGAAGCUGUUUUUGAAGCCUUGUCUCACAACGCUGGCACCGCUCUCUAGCAGCAAGAGACCUCACGUAUCUUCACGGAUCUCCAUUGUAUUAGUCAAGCUGUCCCUCCCGAGAACCUCUCCUAGAAAGUAGUGCCUCAAACUCUGAUUGGACUUUGCAUCCACAAAAGCCUGCUUUCCAUCCUAAGUGGGCAAUUGAACUUUUUUUUUUUUUUUUUGAGAUGGAAUCUCACUCUUGUUACCCAG